AUCUGCCCACCUCGGUGUCCCAAAGUUCUGGGAUUAUAGGCGUGAGCCACCGCACCCGGCCCACUUUUUUUUACCUUCUCGAAACCCCAACUCUUCUGUAAUUACUGAAGCUCAGGUAAUUUUCCCCCCAGUCCUAUUAAAUACCAGCUUGUUUUCAUUUCUCUCUCUUUUCUUUUGCCCUACUAAUUCUGACGUGAUUAUUUUUUCAGCCUUAACUGACUAGCAGAGAGAUUUUGGCUUUCAUUCCAGAAUGAUGUUUCACAGAAAAGUCAACUCUUGUUCCAGGUAUGUGAUAAACAUCUCACUAGUGAACUUCUUGCUGUUUCUAAGCGAUUAACAGUUUGGUUAGCAAGCCCAGAGCCCUGCAGAUACCUUUUGUCUUCUACACAAGGAGUAAGCUAAUGAAUCCCAGGGAGCAUGGCCUGGCCCUCUGCUUCCCUUUAAUGGUUUCUGUCACCCAGGCCAGGCUGCCGCCACCAUGACUCUGCACACUGAUGUGUCGCCUCAGGGCAAGAAGAAUGCAAAUGACGGUGGCCCUCAAAUUGCAAUUUAAGGAUAGCUGUUAGGUUAUAUCUUCCCAUAUAUAUCUCUUCCUAACCUCCAAAUUUGAGGAUAAUGUGCUGUUUUAACUUAGUAGAAAGAAUGUUAAACCUUAGGGUGAUGGUAGCAUCUUGCUGAAUUCUGUGUUUUGGAAUAAAUUCGAUUUUUUUUUUGGUGUGGAGAGGGGAGAAACGGGGAUCACUGAAUGCAAAGACAAUUUAAUUUUAAAAGCUAGAGUUACCUGGUUCCUGGGUUCUAGAUAUUUAAAGAAUAGCCACAAUCAAUUUUGUAAUAAAUUGUAGGAGGUUGUCAAGUUGUCAUCUUUAUUAAGGUGUUUCUUACCAGACAUAUUCAAAAUCUGUGUACUCAGAUUUUAAUUGCAUUUGCCUCUAUUGAUUAAAAUGUACUUUCUGCAAUCAAAAUGGACCUCCAAGAUGUAGAGGGAAAGAACACUUUAAAAGGCGUUUCCCAAGUCGUCUUGGAUAGAGGAGCUUUCAUCCAAGGAUGCUAUGUGGCAUUCCGGAAAUGAAUCACAGACCUGGGCCCUCCAUUUCCUUAGAAACAGAAACAUGCUGAAGAUCGUUAGGGUAAAUGAGUGGGACAAAGCACACUCUGCAUUUUCUUUUUAAUUUCAACUAAAAAAAAAAAAUGCUGCACUGUGGUCUUGGCUGGAGAAACAUCCUCAGCCUGUUCAUCUCCUAUCCUCUGCCCAAAUCAGCUCCAAAUUUGACUGACUGAAUUUUCAGUUCCUGUAUUUUCAGAUCAGUUCCUGUAUUUUCAGAUUCGGCGCUCUCUGUGGUUGUGGUGGUAGCAGUGGUAGUGGUCAUGGAGUCUGUAAGACUUAGCAUUUUAAAACGCCAAAAGCUCUCUUCAGGUUAAAUAAUCUCUCAUCUGAUUCUCAAAUGAACUCCUUGAGGAAGAAUGUUCUGUGCGUCUCUAGAAACCUUAGUUCUACAAGAAAGAGAGAGCUAAAGAAGCUCACCCGCAUCCCACAGAAACCACUUCUUUCCUUUCCCGAACAAGAAGCACAUGUUCUUCAUCUUCUGUCUGUCUGUCCACCCAGGCUUGGAAGACAGGUGAAAACAAUCCCAUCUUUCCAUUCUUAGAAAGAGGUAGGGAUGUGAUGCUUACAUUCCCCUGGCUUCUACUUGCAUCAAAUGUGGGAGGAAGGAAUAAAAGAGAAGAGGAAACUAAAACUUGAGAAAGGGGAAGAAGAGAAACUAUUAGGUUGAUGCAAAAGUAAUUGCGGUUUUUGCAAUUACUUUUAAUAGCGAACCCCCGCCCCCGCAAAUCAUCUAGCAAUCUGGCCUCUGGAGUAAACUAGACUAAAAGUAGGUAAUAGUACCCACCCUUGGCUUAGAAGUAUCUGAUUAUACCUACUAACUAGUACAAGACAUAGAUUUCUGAAGGAAAAGGAGGCCUACCAUUGGCUCCUUUUCAUUUUUGUAGUUUGAUUUUUCUUAUUUUUUAAAAGCUUCUAAAAAUAGUACAUAAAUACCUGGUAGAACAUUUGAAAUGUAGAAAGAAGUUAAAAGAAGCAUGCAAAAUAUCACCACUUCAAAUUACCUUAUUAGCCAAAUGCAACCACCACUAACAUCCAGGGAGGGUUCUUGCCAGUAUUUUUUCUAUUUUUUCCUAUGCUUUUAAAAAUCUUCACAAGUAAAAUCAUUCUGUGCACAGAAUUUCACAUACUACGUUUUGUUCAAUCAAAAGUAACUUCUCAUGUGUUUACUAAUUCUUUAAAUAUUAUUUUAAUGGCAGUAUAAUUUGCCAUCAUAUGACUAUAAUUUAUUAAUAAUUUUCCUAAUAAAGGACAUUCAGAGUGUUUAGAAUUUUAGCCAUUAUAAAUAGUAUGAAAUAAACAUGGUUUUUGUGUGCAUAAAUCUUUACUUUUUAAAUUAUUUCCUUAGAAUAAUCUACUGGAAGUAGGAUUACCAAAUCAAAGAGUAUCAUCAUUUUUCAAGACUUUAGUACCUAUCAGCAAGAAAGCUGUAUCAAUUUAUAUUAACAGUAUAUUAAUGUCUUCCUGAAACUGACUGAAUUGUUUAAUGUCAUUUAAAAAUCAUGCUAUCUUGUUAGGCCUCUGAUACUUUGUAUUUACUGGUAAGGCUGAAAAUUGUUUACAGACUAAUUAAACACAUUAUAUAUUAAGGUUAUUAACUUUCUGCCUUAAUAUUUGAAAAAAUACAUCUUCUUAUAAGUUUGCUUUUUGUCCUUUUUGCUGAUUGUUUAUGAUCAUUUUUGACAUAUAGAAAUUUUACUCUUCUCUAUAUUUCAAUGUAUUGACCUUUGUAUUCGGUAAUUUCUUCUAUUACUGUAAAGUAUAGAAAAUCUGCCUGUAUCUAGAUAAAUAUGCAGAAAUAUGUUCUCAUUAUUUAAUUUUUCAAAACUAUUUCUUUAAUUUAUUUAGGACUUAAUUUGUUAUAUGGCAUGAAAAAAAUUUAUUUUUCUCUGAUAAGCUAAAAAUCAUCACGCACACGGAUUUGUCGACUAUUUUUUCCCCACAGCUUAUAUAUGUAUUCUAUUGACACAUAUGCAAGACUAUUUUUACAUAUGCGAGAUUAUGUUUUGGGCUUUUCUUUCAGCACUUUACUGAUCUCUUUGCCUAUUCAUUUAUCAGUAGUUUCUCCACCCCUAGUCCUUUUCUUUCUUUUUUCUUUCCUUUUUUUCUAAAGUUCUUUUAGCUAUUCUUACUUCUUUCAACUUAAAAGGUGGCCAAGAUGACAUACCAGAAGGCUGUCUAAAAUUAUGAGAGAAAGAGAAUCUUUGCCUUUAAAGUUUUAGGUCUUAGGUGAAAACGAUGCAGUGUUCGCUCUUGUGUCUAUAAAGGGUGGGGUUCAUGCUAUGACACAGAAAAUCAGAAAGGACUUUCUUGACAUUUGUAGAAACAGUAAUAUAAAGAAGAAUUAGGUACCUUUUGGUUCAUCUUAAGAAAAGAAAAUUUCCAGUGAGGAGAUUGAGACAUUUAAUGUUAAAAAGAUCCUUUCUCUUCUAGGGCACGAGUAAAGAUAUCAACUCAUCUAUCUGUAGAAAAUUGCCAGAAACUGUCACCAAAUAAAAAAUGAGAGAAGGCCUGAAUGACAACAGUCCUGUUGGGGUUCUACAAGAUCCCGGCCUUUCUUCGAAGUGCUUGGAAGACCUUGGCAGAUUCAGCCAGUGUUUUGAUCACUGCCAGAGCCUGCAGCUUUGUUACUAAUUGUUUGCUGAAAGAAUUGAGCAAAAGGACAACUGGUCCCAAGGCAAGAGUGAGGAGGUGAGUGAAAGACAGAAAAACAAACCAGAAGAGGGGACUGGGUGAUUGCCUUGCAAAAUCUUAUUAUUACUAGUAUAUUUUUUUGUCUUUUAAUCACAAAGGCUGUCUCUUCACUAGAACUAAAGAACUAAAACUGUUCAGAAAGAGAGAAGAGCCCAGCACCUUAUACUCAGGAGAUACUGAAAAACGUCAUGUAAAGUGUUUACUGUUGCGAGAAAAGUACACGUCAGAGGAUGCCCAUUAUUGAUAUAGAGCCUUCUGUGUACCCUGGAUGAGCAUGACCAGGAAGUCACCCUCAGUUGGCUGCAGCUGUUUUCAGAAUCUGUGGGAUCAUACCCCAGAGGCAGUUGAGUCAGCCGCAGGCAUCAGGUGAGGAGGAGGAAGAGUGAGACAGCUAUUACAGGCUGCCCGGCCAGGUGGCUGUGAAGAGGUGUGGGGCCACCAAGGCUUAUAUAAGGAGGAUGGAGAACACAGGCCAAAGGGGAGGCUGUAAUGCUGACUUCGAUUGGCUAACUUAAUAUGAGGCAGACUGAGGGAGGAGGAAGAGGGCAGGAGAGAACAUGCUUUAGAAAGCAUGACGGUGUCUCAUCUGUUUGCAAGCGAACACGUAGGUGCCUUCCAAAUAUGAUCCUGAAGAAUGUGCAGAUAAAUGAAAAAUCUGAUAUACAAUAAACCACAUACCUCUUUA